rnacentral:rRNA from 1 species
AUUGAGCGCUGGCGGCAGGCCUAACACAUGCAAGUCGAGCGGAUGAAGGGAGCUUGCUCCUGGAUUCAGCGGCGGACGGGUGAGUAAUGCCUAGGAAUCUGCCUGGUAGUGGGGGAUAACGUCCGGAAACGGGCGCUAAUACCGCAUACGUCCUGAGGGAGAAAGUGGGGGAUCUUCGGACCUCACGCUAUCAGAUGAGCCUAGGUCGGAUUAGCUAGUUGGUGGGGUAAAGGCCUACCAAGGCGACGAUCCGUAACUGGUCUGAGAGGAUGAUCAGUCACACUGGAACUGAGACACGGUCCAGACUCCUACGGGAGGCAGCAGUGGGGAAUAUUGGGCAAUGGGCGAAAGCCUGAUCCAGCCAUGCCGCGUGUGUGAAGAAGGUCUUCGGAUUGUAAAGCACUUUAAGUUGGGAGGAAGGGCAGCAAGUUAAUACCUUGCUGUUUUGACGUUACCAACAGAAUAAGCACCGGCUAACUUCGUG